rnacentral:rRNA from 1 species
GACGAACCGUGCGAACGUUGUUCGGAAUCACUGGGCUUAAAGGGCGCGUAGGCGGUUUGCCAAGUCAGGGGUGAAAUCUUGCAGCUCAACUGUAAAAGUGCCUUUGAUACUGGUGAACUCGAGGGAGGUAGGGGUCGCUGGAACUUCUGGUGGAGCGGUGAAAUGCGUUGAUAUCAGAAGGAACGCCGGUGGCGAAAGCGAGCGACUGGAUCUCUUCUGACGCUGAGGCGCGAAAGCCAGGGGAGCAAACGGG